GCUGAAGUAACUCUUGCCUAUCAAUUUUGUCAACUGAACUUUUGUGCCACACGAUGUUUGUUGACUUCUCAUUGCCAAGCAUCAUUUGAAGAUCCUUUCCUGAAAUCACCGAGCAAUCCUUGGUCAAAAACGUCGCAGACUCCUCCAUUGCCUUAAUUAUAAUCCGCGAAGAUCUCAACCUCACAUCACCGCCGCGACAGAGCCCCAAAUUCUUAACCGCAUUAUUGCCGACGGAGAACCUGGCGAAUACUAACUUCGACGACUGCAACGGUCCAUAUCCAAAUUCUGGCCGGUAACCAGAUACGAAAGGCCUCGUUCCCUGUAGCGCAACCAUCUCAAAAAUAGCCGCAGUAACACAUUCGAGUUUGGCGGCAAAAAUUAAAAAAACAAAAAGAGAGAAUGUGUUUAUUAGGAUUGAUUGCGGGUGGCAGUUGUUGCUAAUUGAAUGGGCGAUGGACACGGCAGUAUGGCCGCGUAGGCAGCGGUGGAGGCACGAGUCAGAAGUGGAAGCGGUGACGUUCUU
rnacentral:misc_RNA from 1 species